UUGAGCCUUAUGUCCUGAAAGGGACACGUAGGGUUCUUAAGGGGGAAAGAGACCGCGAGGUCUCCUACCUACCUGAC
rnacentral:ncRNA from 1 species